UUUUCAAGAUAUGAGCGUGGAAGCAAAACGCUGAAAAAUGCAACUUUUAAACCUUUUUUAGGUGGUUUGGUUUGAAUCAUCAUGACUGGCUUUCUGAUGAACCUAUGCGACGCCAUUAAGGAAUGGCUUACUACUGUAUGGUCGACUGGAUCUGUACUUCCUGUAUUUACUGAUCCGGAGACGUGAAAAUAUGGUUCAUCUGUAGACCACUGAAUAGUAUCGUGUUGCACAGAGGUUAAGAGUGCGUUGCAAGCAUCUGUAUGCUUUAACCAGUCGUCUGAAACAACCAUAUUCUUUUAGGGGUGUAAAUGGAGAUCGAAGUGUAAAAUUCGCCUUCCUUUUCUGGACGAUAUUUCAAGUGGAGCUGGAUGUUUCCGCACAGAGCGCGAUAGGGAUUGUUCAAUGGACGCCCUCACUGCCGCGAUAUUUUCAGGUACCCCACCUUUUUUACGUUGCCCAGCUUGUUUUCUAGGAAGUGCAGAUCCUUUCGACCAUACAGUAGUAAGCCAUUUCCUAAUGGUUCUAGCAUCAGGAACUGUCAUGAAGAUUCAAACCAAACCGCCUACAAAAAGCAUCUGCGUCGCUACCACAUUGUCAUUGUUUUUAAAGAACGUUCCAACAAUAAAGCCUCGAUGCUCACCUUACCACUGCAUGAUGAACAUGAAUACUUAAAAUGACAUAGUUUCCGCCAUAUAACACCACCACUCUUAUUCCACUAUUCACCUGCGCACUCUUCACUGAUUUGAAAGUAGGGAGUCCAUUCUGACCAAACUUUUAGGCUUAUCAAAACAGGGAAUAUGUCGGCCAUGCUAAGACAACUAAGGCUGCACUCUUUAGUCAGCUAGUGCUCUAUACGAUACGUGCAAAAUGGAUGCAACCCUUAGAAAUAAAAAUCAAUAUAAAUUUCAUGUGGAUUGAGAGUAGAUUAAUCUCUAGUAUGAUGCAUUUCAAUCUUUUUAAUUAUUAUUUCUUCUACUUAACUCGUUCUUCUACUAAUACGUUUUUCUUUUUAGAAAUAAAAAUGCCAUUUAUGUCUGCCUGUCACCACAUAGAAAGCUUUCCGAAAGACACAAUUCCUUGGUGAACCUAUUGUACUGCAUCAUAAAAGCGGAAGAAGGAGGUGAAAUCAACUUGCCGACUGUUUAACUGUGGUAAAAGCUAUCAAAUCCAUGAAUCCAGGAACCUAUUAAAUUCUCAAGAACAUCUCUGUCAUAAUGUGGUCGGACCCGUUCACCAAGGAAGGUCGCAGUAAUCAAAGCAUUCAUUUUACUCCUAUUAUCAAGUAAUUGAAAAGCUUUGAGGAUCGAAAUAAUUUCUUGAAAUAUGUUAACUAUUUCAUGAUUCAAUGUGAUUUCUUGACUAUUGACAUUUUAAAUUAUGGGACAUCAUGCAAUUUUAGGCAUUUGCCUGAUGCAAAUGGUUGAGCAUUGCCCAUAUAUUGUGAUGAAGAAAAAUUUGUUUCAAAUCACUUCAAUGAAUAUUAAGAUUCAAGCAUUCUGAUUAUACAGAUUCAAGCAUGGGAAGCGGUAAUUUUUGUCUCAAGUUACAUAUUAUACAUAAUUUAAGAUUUUUUAUUUUUUCCUGUUUCAUUAUUAUGUAAGUUCUGCUGAAAUUAACACGUGAGGUUUAUUGGCUAAAAUUACUUCCCACUAUUUUACAUUAAUUUCUUCCAAUUUAUCGAAUUUCAAAGUUUUUUAGCUUCCUCAACAACCUGUCAACUCAAAUUUUACUUGAAUUUUUAUUGCAAUCUCUAGGCUUUUAAAUUUCUAAUAAUGUAUACAAAUAGGUUUGAAUGAUAAAUCAUUCUAUUCAAAAAUUACAUAUCACUAUACUGAGAUUUGCUUUGCUUUUUCAAACUGGUUGUACUGACAUUAGGACAGAAAAUUUGUGCAUCGCACAUUAGCGAAAACUUUUGCAUUAUAGAUAAUAGAAUAGAAUAAAUAGAAAGAAUGCUUUAUUAUUCAAGAUUACACAAUACAAUAUAUAUAUAUAU